rnacentral:piRNA from 5 species
GACGCAAUGUGAUUUCUGCCCAGUGCUCU